UUCGCCGCCGGAGGCGCCCGAGCUAUGACGAGCGUGCUCGAGCGACGCCGAGGUCGAGCGAGCAACGCGCAUGGCGAAGCCACCAGUCACCUGUCGUCUCUUCUCCUUCUUGUAGAUCGCUUAGUGCAGUACAUCGUGAAACGCUACCAAUUUUAUACAUCGUGCGCCUCUUUCUCAUCUCGAACUCUAGUAUUCGCGACACUCCCAAGCGUCGCGUCGUGCAGAUAAAACUACAUGGCCGAUUUUUGUGUUCUCUAACCUUAACCCGAUGUAAGAAUUUGUGCUCCUGGUGAUAUGUUGCUUCAUGUUCGAACUACGGACUCAAGAAACCUUUCAUGUUCGUGUAUCUACGUUGAACAUUAAUAUCCCGUGAUCGAUUAGAUUUCAAAAUGUCAAACUUUUGCUAAGAGUAAUUGAACGUUUGACGUUUAACUCAUGACGCAUAUUUACGGUCUCUGUUAUGAAUCAGCUGAUAGUGCAAGAGUGCCGUUUGUCAAAAGAUGAAUCUUUCAUAACUAGUUGAUCAUUAUCAUAAAACAAUGUGUUUACGAAGAUAAAAUACGAUAUUGAUAAAAUUGUAAUAGACAUCGAUUGUGCUUUGUAAAUUUUAAUCAUUACGUUUAAUGUAAGUGCGGUUACAUUUAAUUAUUUAUUGUAAAAACCAAGUGUUAGAAUUUAAAGGAAUCUAUAAAGAAUUACGUUAAAAAGUUGAAUGUAUUUUGAGACGCAUAAAAAUGUGUGAAAGAUUAAUAAAAAUAAACAGUAAUGAUAUUCAAGUGGUCGAAAUCGGGCAACAAAUAAUAUAUUGUAAGAAUUUACUGUUUUAUAAGUUACUAUACGUAAAAUAACUAUCAAUUCCGAAUUUAACGAACAUGGUCGAUAUAGAUGGGCAAGUGUGUCGAUAAAAGUGCAUAAUAAAUCACACCACCGUUGGAAAAUCAUA